rnacentral:tRNA from 1 species
AAAUUUAGGAUAUUUAAACCCAGGACCUUCAAAGUCCUUAAAAAGGGCCCUGCCCCCUUAAUUUCU